GGUCGCUUAGCUCAGUUGGUUAGAGCGUGGUGCUAAUAAAUACAUCUUCCGAGAUGAUGAUUAUCAACGCCAAGGUCGUGGGUUCGACCCCCAUAGUGACCA